rnacentral:rRNA from 1 species
GUGCCAGCAGCCGCGGUAAUACGUAGGCAGCAAGCGUUGUUCGGAGUUACUGGGCGUAAAGAGUGCGUAGGUGGUGCCCUAAGUCUGUUGUGAAAUCUCCCGGCUUAACUGGGAGGGUGCGGUGGAAACUGGGGUGCUUGAGUGUGGGAGAGGUAAGCGGAAUUCCUGGUGUAGCGGUGAAAUGCGUAGAUAUCAGGAGGAACACCGGUGGUGUAGACGGCUUACUGGACCACGACUGACACUGAGGCACGAAAGCGUGGGUAGCAAACAGGAUUAGAUACCCUGGUAGUCC